UGGGGAAUCUUCGACAAUGGGGGAAACCCUGAUCUAGCCAUGCCGCGUGAGUGACGAAGGCCUUAGGGUCGUAAAGCUCUUUCGCCAGGGAUGAUAAUGACAGUACCUGGUAAAGAAACCCCGGCUAACUCCGUGCCAGCAGCCACGGUAAUACGGAGGGGGUUAGCGUUGUUCGGAAUUACUGGGCGUAAAGCGCACGUAGGCGGACUAUUAAGUCAGGGGUGAAAUCCCGGGGCUCAACCCCGGAACUGCCUUUGAUACUGGUAGUCUUGAGUUCGAGAGAGGUGAGUGGAAUUCCGAGUGUAGAGGUGAAAUUCGUAGAUAUUAGGAAGAACACCGGUGGCGAAGGCGGCUCACUGGACCGGUAUUGACGCUGAGGUGCGAAAGCGUGGGGAGCGAACGGGAUUAGAUACCCGCGUAGUCC
rnacentral:rRNA from 1 species